UGCAACCUCCAGGUUCAAGUGAUCCUUCCACCUCAGCCUCCCCGAGUAGCUGGGACUACAGAAAAGAGGCACACACCAGAGAAAAGAGCUUUGGCAACCAGAAACCCAGCUUUCACUUAGAACCCCUUGACUCGCUGGGGCCGUGUGACCGUGGACAAGUGAAUUCAUUUCUGAGUCUCAUUUCUUCAUCUGUAAAUAGCACAGGAUGUUUGCAAAGAUGAGAUGAAAUCAUGAAUGUUGACACCUGGCACAUAGUAGGUGAUUAAUAAAUGGCAAUUGUUUUCAUUAA